GAAGGAUGAAGGGUAGCAGGAGGAGGAGGAAGGUAACAUGAGGAGGAAGAGGAAGGUAACAUGAGGAGAAUGAUGAAGGGUAACAGGAGGAGAAGGAUGAAGGGUAGCAGGAGGAGGAGGAUGAAGGUAACAUGAGGAGAAGGAGGAAGGUAACAUGAAGAGAAGGAUGAAGGUAACAUGAGGAGAAGGAUGAAGGUAACAUGAGGAGAAGGAGGAAGGGUAACAGGAGGAGAAGGAUGAAGGGUAGCAGGAGGAGGAGGAUGAAGGUAACAUGAGGAGAAGGAGGAAGGUAACAUGAAGAGAAGGAUGAAGGUAACAUGAGGAGAAGGAUGAAGGUAACAUGAGGAGAAGGAUGAAGGUAAAACGAGGAGAAGGAUGAAGGUAACAUGAGGAGAAGGAUGAAGGUAACAUGAGGAGAAGGAUGAAGGUAACAUGAGGAGAAGGAUGAAGGGUAACAGGAGGAGGAGGAUGAAGGUAACAUGCGGAGAAGGAUGAAGGUAACAUGAGGAGAAGGAUGAAGGUAACAUGAGGAGAAGGAUGAAGGGUAGCAGGAGGAGGAGGAAGGUAACAUGAGGAGAAGGAUGAAGGUAAAAUGAGGAGAAGGAUGAAGGUAACAUGAGGAGAAGGAUGAAGGGUAACAGGAGGAGGAGGAGGAAGGUAACAUGCGGAGAAGGAUGAAUGUAAAACGAGGAGAAGGAUGAAGGUAACAUGAGGAGAAGGAUGAAGGUAAUAUGAGGAGAAGGAUGAAGGGUAACAGGAGGAGGAGGAUGAAGGUAACAUGAGGAGAAGGAUGAAGGUAACAUGAGGAGAAGGAUGAAGUUAACAUGAGGAGACACCACUCAUAACCAUUCAUUUCUCAAAGGAACAUUUAGUA
rnacentral:lncRNA from 1 species